GACGAACGCCGGCGGCGUGCUUAACACAUGCAAGUCGAACGGAGCGAAUGAAAGCUUGCUUUUAUAAGCUUAGUGGCAAACGGGUGAGUAACACGUAGACAACCUGCCGACAGGAUGGGGACAACAUUCCGAGAGGAAUGCUAAUACCGAAUGAAGUGCAGGGGAGGCAUCUCCCCUGCAUGAAAGAUGGCCUCUGAAUAUGCUAUUACCUGUUGAUGGGUCUGCGUCUGAUUAGCUGGUAGGUGAGGUAACGGCUCACCUAGGCGACGAUCAGUAGCCGGUCUGAGAGGAUGAACGGCCACAUUGGGACUGAGACACGGCCCAGACUCCUACGGGAGGCAGCAGUGGGGAAUCUUCCGCAAUGGGCGCAAGCCUGACGGAGCAACGCCGCGUGAGUGAAGAAGGUCUUCGGAUCGUAAAGCUCUGUUGAUGGGGACGAACGU
rnacentral:rRNA from 1 species